rnacentral:other from 1 species
CGGAUGCUGCGUGGUGCGUCAGGUCACUUAAUCCCUGGGGCUACUUCGAUUCUCUAGGGAGCUGUCCCUGCCAGACUCGUGGGUUUGGUAUACGGUGCCCACCUGCGUUAGCAGGCCACAGAGGAUUUCAUCGACCAACGGCCGACGCGGCUCCGU